rnacentral:lncRNA from 1 species
UAUAUAUCCAAAGGAUGAGUGAAUACAAAGAUGUUUCAAUACAUAAGUAUUGACUUAGAGUACAAAAGACAUGGAUAGAAACUAUCCAAGAGUCAAUUAGUCAACAACUACAAGAUAGAUCCUAGACAAAAAUUAAUGAAAAGACAGACUACACUGGAUCUAGUAGAUAUCAUGGCUGGAGGAUCGGAGUCUGAUGAAUCAGAGAUGGGGUGAGGAGAUGAAGGAUCAUGUCCACGAGCUCGACCUCGACCGCAUCUGCCUCUGCCACGGGUAGAGGUGCCAGCACGAGUGGAGGGGGAGAAGAUCCUGAAGCUUGAGAAGCAAAGGACUGAGCUACAAGAGAGAGUCUGAUGGUGUCCAGAAGGUUCAGAGCUCUCGAAAUAGAUUGUAGCAGUGUAGUGAACUAAGUG